CUGAAACAUCUAAGUACCCCGAGGAAAAGAAAUCAACCGAGAUUCCCCCAGUAGCGGCGAGCGAACGGGGAGCAGCCCAGAGCCUGAAUCAGUAUGUGUGUUAGUGGAAGCGUCUGGAAAGGCGCGCGAUACAGGGUGACAGCCCCGUACACAAAAAUGCACAUGCUGUGAGCUCGAUGAGUAGGGCGGGACACGUGGUAUCCUGUCUGAAUAUGGGGGGACCAUCCUCCAAGGCUAAAUACUCCUGACUGACCGAUAGUGAACCAGUACCGUGAGGGAAAGGCGAAAAGAACCCCGGCGAGGGGAGUGAAAAAGAACCUGAAACCGUGUACGUACAAGCAGUGGGAGCACGCUUAGGCGUGUGACUGCGUACCUUUUGUAUAAUGGGUCAGCGACUUAUAUUCUGUAGCAAGGUUAACCGAAUAGGGGAGCCGAAGGGAAACCGAGUCUUAACUGGGCGUUAAGUUGCAGGGUAUAGACCCGAAACCCGGUGAUCUAGCCAUGGGCAGGUUGAAGGUUGGGUAACACUAACUGGAGGACCGAACCGACUAAUGUUGAAAAAUUAGCGGAUGACUUGUGGCUGGGGGUGAAAGGCCAAUCAAACCGGGAGAUAGCUGGUUCUCCCCGAAAGCUAUUUAGGUAGCGCCUCGUGAAUUCAUCUCCGGGGGUAGAGCACUGUUUCGGCAAGGGGGUCAUCCCGACUUACCAACCCGAUGCAAACUGCGAAUACCGGAGAAUGUUAUCACGGGAGACACACGGCGGGUGCUAACGUCCGUCGUGAAGAGGGAAACAACCCAGACCGCCAGCUAAGGUCCCAAAGUCAUGGUUAAGUGGGAAACGAUGUGGGAAGGCCCAGACAGCCAGGAUGUUGGCUUAGAAGCAGCCAUCAUUUAAAGAAAGCGUAAUAGCUCACUGGUCGAGUCGGCCUGCGCGGAAGAUGUAACGGGGCUAAACCAUGCACCGAAGCUGCGGCAGCGACGCUGAUGCGUUGUUGGGUAGGGGAGCGUUCUGUAAGCCUGCGAAGGUGUGCUGUGAGGCAUGCUGGAGGUAUCAGAAGUGCGAAUGCUGACAUAAGUAACGAUAAAGCGGGUGAAAAGCCCGCUCGCCGGAAGACCAAGGGUUCCUGUCCAACGUUAAUCGGGGCAGGGUGAGUCGACCCCUAAGGCGAGGCCGAAAGGCGUAGUCGAUGGGAAACAGGUUAAUAUUCCUGUACUUGGUGUUACUGCGAAGGGGGGACGGAGAAGGCUAUGUUGGCCGGGCGACGGUUGUCCCGGUUUAAGCGUGUAGGCUGGU
rnacentral:rRNA from 1 species